AACGCGAAGAACCUUACCUGGUCUUGACAUGUACGGAAUCCUCCAGAGACGGAGGAGUGCCUUCGGGAGCCGUAACACAGGUGCUGCAUGGCUGUCGUCAGCUCGUGUCGUGAGAUGUUGGGUUAAGUCCCGCAACGAGCGCAACCCUUGUCAUUAGUUGCCAUCAUUUAGUUGGGCACUCUAAUGAGACUGCCGGUGACAAGCCGGAGGAAGGUGGGGAUGACGUCAAGUCCUCAUGGCCCUUAUGACCAGGGCUUCACACGUCAUACAAUGGUCGGUACAGGGGGUAGCCAAGCCGCGAGGUGGAGCCAAUCUCACAAAACCGAUCGUAGUCCGGAUUGCACUCUGCAACUCGAGUGCAUGAAGUCGGAAUCGCUAGUAAUCGCAGGUCAGCAUACUGCGGUGAAUACGUUCCCGGGCCUUGUACACACCG
rnacentral:rRNA from 1 species